rnacentral:rRNA from 1 species
UUUAAUUGAAGAGUUUGAUCAUGGCUCAGAUUGAACGCUGGCGGCAGGCCUAACACAUGCAAGUCGAGCGGUAACAGAGAGUAGCUUGCUACUYUGCUGACGAGCGGCGGACGGGUGAGUAAUGCUUGGGAAUAUGCCUUAUGGUGGGGGACAACAGUUGGAAACGACUGCUAAUACCGCAUGAUGUCUACGGACCAAAGUGGGGGACCUUCGGGCCUCACGCCAUAAGAUUAGCCCAAGUGGGAUUAGCUAGUUGGUGAGGUAAUGGCUCACCAAGGCGACGAUCCCUAGCUGGUUUGAGAGGAUGAUCAGCCACACUGGGACUGAGACACGGCCCAGACU